GCCCCUUAAACGUUUACGCUCCAUGGUGAGACUCAGUGAUAGCUUGUGACGGCUUCCAAUCUCAAAUAACACAGCGGAGGGCUAACUAGUAGCACUGCUAGCUCACCGCCCGUCGAGCUAAUUCCACAAAGGCGGAAUUUGGCGUGUCUCUGUACGAUUCUUUCAUCCCCGUAAUGGGAUCCGCGGACAAGCCAGGGCGACCAUUUUCUCUUCCAGCAGAGAUCGCUUAAUGGAGGAUUUGGAGCGUGAGCAGCGGAGGUUGGGGAGGAUCCACGGAAGGCGGAGGCGAGCGGACGGACAGGCAGCUGUAGGCGACCAGCUGACCACGGGGAUCUGCUUUGGGGCUCCGUGGAAGGGGAGCAAUGGCGACAUGGAAGCACUGCAGUCAGCACUGCGCCACUCGGAGCCUCAUCACCUCAUGGUCGUGGCUCUUGCUCCGCCGUGCCAAACUGCAGCCCCCGAAACCUAAAAAUGUCGACUUGUGGCGGGGGAAAAUUGACACACAUUCUCGUUUACCGUUCCUAAUUGUGUUUUGUGGUGUUUCAAAACAACGUGUGUGGUUUUUAUUCGAAAUUCAAGCGAAAAAACUUGCUACAUUCCCCAACGAGGCGUAGCCGAGGAGUGCAUCCAUGAUGGCGGCUGCUCGUUGUUCGUCGUGUCCUUCAUGGCUCCAGCUAGCUAGCUAGCUUAGCUGAACCACCACUGUGCGACCCAGAACCGCCGAACCUUUGGAUGGUAGCCAUCAUGUCAAACGGAACAAAUUAGGACUUUCCGUGGCUAAAUAACACGCAUAGUACAACGCAUACAUAUGAGAUACGAAACAAAAGUUUGGGGCAUUUUCACGACCAAUGGCGGCGUUUCGGUCGACAUGUAGCGUGGUUGUUUUCGGGGGAAUGGGGCUCCAAUUUUAGCCCAAAAUGUAAACAGUCCACACGGUCGACAUGUGUCCCUUGUUUUGGGGACAUAAUUCGCAUUGUUUACCACAAUGUUUAUAUUCUAAUAUAUUACAUAUAUGUUGAUUUUAACAUUAUAAACAAACGUCGUGGUAGUGGAGCUACAAAGACAAACCGUUUAAAUAAAAUAUGAAAGCUACAUUAAAACAAAGUAUGUUUACUGUAACAAACCGACGCCGUUUGAAAGCUGAACUCGAAAGGACUUAGGGUACCGUCGAAGCCCGAGAAGGCUCCAUGGUGCCCACAAGGCUCGAGGUCCGCCAUGCUUCAGCUCAAACCUACCGUGACAAGGUCCAAUGGCGCACUGCUCGGCGACGAAAUGACGGGCAGAGAACUCAACCACGAGGGCUCCCAAAAAGAGCACAAGCGAGGUCUAGAAGGCGGGUUCUUCGAGCUCGGUGGUCGGUAGUCCGGGUCUGGUCGGUGAGAGAGGAGGGGGAGAGAGAGGGCGGUGAGAUAUUAAACCAAGAUCCCUGAUGGCUAACCGAGAGGGGCGGCUGGUUGUUCUGCCAACUGCCGCAUGGAGGUCUGGGCGCCGAAAGCACCGCUCGCUCUUUCGCGAAUGUAACCCAAAUAUAGCUUCGGUCGACGGGUUUCUAUGAAGGGGAUUUUCAAGACCCAUCCGCUUGAAUUUAAUUUCAACAACGUUUAGCGUUACCUCCGGGCCUUGUGUCGAGAACUUUCCGCCCGCCGCAGAAGAAGCACGGCUAUGGCCGCCCUCGUCUGUACCCUUCCCACCGUCGUUGCUUGUCGAGCUAAGUACAAAGGGGCUUCCGACCGACCCGCGUUUCCACACGUCUAAAAACACAUGUAUGCCUACUUUGGCGAAUUUAGUCGCUCGUUUGUGAUUUUUAUGGCGCAAUCGUGUCGCGUUGGAGCCCAGCGAGUGCUCCGCUGGCUUACCUUGCUGCACGGCGUGAGCUUCGGCGUCGUUGUGGAGGAAGAAGGGGAGGGUUGAACGAUCGCCAGUACUGCGCCGUCGGUCCUCGGCUCCAGUCCCCGCAGAGAUGAUUCUUCCCCCGCCUCCAUCUCACUCGCCGUCUCCCUCCAGUCAACGCGUAGCAGCUUCCUACUCCCCACCCAACCAUUUCGCUACGCCGAGACGUCCUCCAUGUUGUCCGAGCGUUCGACGACCGCCGUUGUUUCCCAAGCGGAGCCAUCGCGUUUACAUCUGGAGGGGCGACAGUGGCCGAUCCUCCGCCGAUGUUGGCACACUUUGAUCGGGCAACUGCGUCUGACCCGAACGCCUCGAGUUAACACCGAUCGCACCGCUUGACGAACCACAAAUUUGGAAAGCUAUAUGCUUGUACGGACAUAUGUUGGCGUUGAUAAAAUUUUAAAAGUUAACUUUAAUGUCACUUGUCUACUAAAGUUGAUUAUACUAUGUGACUGAAUGAGUCUCUGUGCCGUUGCACGUAGGAAUGCUCGUUUUGUAAAUUGUGGAAGGCUGUUUGACAGAUUCAUAUUAGAUCAGCAUGUUUUUUUUCCCUUUUCCAACUCCACCUUGUGUGUUUGUGGGCGGAACCCCAGGCCGUCCAAUCGUGUCAGCCCGGUGAGGAAAACAAACUGCUCCUAGGCGUUGGGCCUUGUUUAAAUAGUGAGGCGUUCGCUUGCUGUUGGAUAUCUAAUGUAGCUCAUUUGUAAUUUUGAUAUGCAUUUCACAUUUGGAGUAAUUUAAGCUUUUGGAAGGCGAACGUGACGUUUGAUUCAUCAUCCAGUCGUCCCACAAGGCAACUUUUCAAAUGGCAAUGGAGACUCAUUGUACACGUCCUCCCCGACAUCCUCCUCAAUCUUCACCUUGGCAUCGUCCGCAUCCAGCUGCAACACCAACAAAACGUGCUUAACAAGAAUAAAAUUGUGAAGAGCGUGCCGGUCAUCCCCAUACGCAGGGGCACGGUGAGGAGGAGGAUGAAGGGCAGCGCCAGCGACAAGGGGCUCAUCUUCACCACCCACAGGACGGCCAGGCACACCAGCUGGAUCAGGGUGAACAUGUGCAUCCGCAUGGGGGUCACCUGUGGCAAACACACACAGAAAACACGAAUGCGUCAUGUAGUACUUUCCAUGUUAUACACAGCAGCAAUUCAAAAGUCAACAUACUUUUUGUAUGGCCUGUGGAACAAUUAAAAAUGAGCCCAACCACUAAAUAAAAUAAUUGAAAUUACAGAUUAAUUUUUUUAAUUUGUCCAUUUCUGAAUGAACCACUCCCCUCCCCCUUUUGUCCUAUGAGGUGCGUACCCUUGUGGCGUAGGCAUCCGAUGGGUAAUACUUCUUGGGCGUGAUCAACAGAAGCAUCCGAUCCCACAUUUGGAUGCCAUUCAGGGACGUGACACCCAUGUAGAGGAAGAUGCCAAACAAGGCCGUCAUUGGGAUCAUCUU